UACAGAGGGGGCAAGCGUUGUUCGGAAUUACUGGGCGUAAAGGGCGCGUAGGCGGCCUUCUAAGUCGAACGUGAAAUCCCCGGGCUCAACCCGGGAACUGCGUCCGAUACUGGAAGGCUUGAAUCCGGGAGAGGGAUGUGGAAUACCAGGUGUAGCGGUGAAAUGCGUAGAUAUCUGGAGGAACACCGGUGGCGAAGGCGACAUCCUGGACCGGUAUUGACGCUGAGGCGCGAAAGCCAGGGGAGCAAACGGG
rnacentral:rRNA from 1 species